CCCAGACUCCUACGGGAGGCAGCAGUGGGGAAUAUUGCACAAUGGGGGAAACCCUGAUGCAGCGACGCCGCGUGAGCGAUGAAGUAUUUCGGUAUGUAAAGCUCUAUCAGCAGGGAAGAAAAAAGACGGUACCUGACUAAGAAGCCCCGGCUAACUACGUGCCAGCAGCCGCGGUAAUACGUAGGGGGCAAGCGUUAUCCGGAUUUACUGGGUGUAAAGGGAGCGUAGACGGCAAUACAAGUCGGAAGUGAAAUACCCGGGCUCAACCUGGGAACUGCUUUGGAAACUGUAUGGCUGGAGUGCUGGAGAGGUAAGCGGAAUUCCUAGUGUAGCGGUGAAAUGCGUAGAUAUUAGGAGGAACACCAGUGGCGAAGGCGGCUUACUGGACAGUAACUGACGUUGAGGCUCGAAAGCGUGGGGAGCAAACAGGAUUAGAUACCCGCGUA
rnacentral:rRNA from 1 species